AUUGAACGCUGGCGGAAUGCUUUACACAUGCAAGUCGAACGGCAGCACGGACUUCGGUCUGGUGGCGAGUGGCGAACGGGUGAGUAAUGUAUCGGAACGUGCCCAGUCGUGGGGGAUCACGUAGUGAAAAUUACGCUAAUACCGCAUACGAUCUAUGGAUGAAAGCGGGGGAUCGCAAGACCUCGCGCGAUUGGAGCGGCCGAUAUCAGAUUAGGUAGUUGGUGGGGUAAAGGCCCACCAAGCCAACGAUCUGUAGCUGGUCUGAGAGGACGACCAGCCACACUGGAACUGAGACACGGUCCAGACUCCUACGGGAGGCAGCAGUGGGGAAUUUUGGACAAUGGGCGAAAGCCUGAUCCAGCCAUUCCGCGUGCAGGAUGAAGGCCCUCGGGUUGUAAACUGCUUUUGUACAGAACGAAAAGGUUUCUACUAAUACUAGGAGCUCAUGACGGUACUGUAAGAAUAAGCACCGGCCAACUACGUGCCAGCCGCCGCGGUAA
rnacentral:rRNA from 1 species